rnacentral:rRNA from 1 species
UACAGAGGGUGCAAGCGUUGUUCGGAAUUAUUGGGCGUAAAGCGCACGUAGGCGGAUCGUUAAGUCGGGGGUGAAAUCCUGGAGCUCAACUCCAGAACUGCCUUCGAUACUGGCGAUCUUGAGUCCGGAAGAGGUGAGUGGAACUCCUAGUGUAGAGGUGGAACUCGUAGAUAUUAGGAAGAACACCAGUGGCGAAGGCGGUUCACUGGUCCGGUACUGACGCUGAGGUGCGAAAGCGUGGGGAGCAAACAGG